rnacentral:rRNA from 1 species
UACGAAGGGGGCUAGCGUUGUUCGGAAUUACUGGGCGUAAAGCGCGCGCAGGCGGCUAUCCAAGUCAGUGGUGAAAGCCCGGGGCUCAACUCCGGAACUGCCUUUAAGACUGCAUCGCUUGAAUUGUGGAGAGGUAAGUGGAAUUCCGAGUGUAGAGGUGAAAUUCGUAGAUAUUCGGAAGAACACCAGUGGCGAAGGCGACUUACUGGACACAUAUUGACGCUGAGGUGCGAAAGCGUGGGGAGCAAACAGG